rnacentral:rRNA from 1 species
GGAUCAGACUUUGAUCAUGGCUCACGAUGAACGCUAGCUACAGGCUUAACACAUGCAAGUCGAGGGGCAGUGGGAUUGAAGCUUGCUUCAAUUGCCGGCGACCGGCGCACGGGUGAGUAACGCGUAUCCAAUCUUCCGUACACUCAGGGAUAGCCUUUCGAAAGAAAGAUUAAUACCUGAUAGUAUCUUAAGCACACAUGUAAUUAAGAUUAAAGAUUUAUCGGUGUACGAUGGGGAUGCGUUCCAUUAGGUAGUAGGCGGGGUAACGGCCCACCUAGCCAACGAUGGAUAGGGGUUCUGAGAGGAAGGUCCCCCACAUUGGAACUGAGACACGGUCCAAACUCCUACGGGAGGCAGCAGUGAGGAAUAUUGGUCAAUGGACGAGAGUCUGAACCAGCCAAGUAGCGUGAAGGAUGAAGGUCCUACGGAUUGUAAACUUCUUUUAUAAGGGAAUAAACCCUCCCACGUGUGGGAGCUUGUAUGUACCUUAUGAAUAAGCAUCGGCUAACUCCGUGCCAGCAGCCGCGGUAAUACGGAGGAUGCGAGCGUUAUCCGGAUUUAUUGGGUUUAAAGGGAGCGCAGACGGGUCGUUAAGUCAGCUGUGAAAGUUUGGGGCUCAACCUUAAAAUUGCAGUUGAUACUGGCGUCCUUGAGUGCGGUUGAGGUGUGCGGAAUUCGUGGUGUAGCGGUGAAAUGCUUAGAUAUCACGAAGAACUCCGAUUGCGAAGGCAGCACACUAAUCCGUAACUGACGUUCAUGCUCGAAAGUGUGGGUAUCAAACAGGAUUAGAUACCCUGGUAGUCCACACGGUAAACGAUGGAUACUCGCUGUUGGCGAUAUACUGUCAGCGGCUUAGCGAAAGCG